rnacentral:rRNA from 1 species
AUUGAACGCUGGCGGAAUGCUUUACACAUGCAAGUCGAACGGAGCACGGACUUCGGUCUGGUGGCGAGUGGCGAACGGGUGAGUAACACAUCGGAACGUGCCCAGUCGUGGGGGAUAACGUAGCGAAAGCUACGCUAAUACCGCAUACGAUCUAAGGAUGAAAGCGGGGGAUCGCAAGACCUCGCGCGAUUGGAGCGGCCGAUGGCAGAUUAGGUAGUUGGUAGGGUAAAGGCCUACCAAGCCGACGAUAUGUAGCUGGUCUGAGAGGAUGAUCAGCCACACGGGGACUGAGACACGGCCCAGACUCCUACGGGAGGCAGCAGUGGGAAAUUUUGGACAAUGGGCGCAAGCCUGAUCCAGCCAUUCCGCGUGCAGGAUGAAGGCCUUCGGGUUGUAAACUGCUUUUGUACAGAACGAAAAGGCUCUGGUUAAUACCCGGGGCUCAUGACGGUACUGUAAGAAUAAGCACCGGCUAACUACGUGCCAGCCGCCGCGGUAACAC